CUGCUUAUUUUGGCAGCACAUAUACUAAAAUUGGAAAGAUACAGAGAAGAUUAACCUGGUUUCUAUGCAAGAAUGACAAAAAUCUAUGAAGCAUUCCAUAUUUUU